GUUCAUUUUCUCAGCAGAAGCAAACACCCAGGGUUGUUCCCCAGGAUGGUUGAGAUUAAUGGGAAGCUGUUAUUGGCACUCCUCUGUGCCAGACACUUUGCAUGAAGCCAAAAAAAACUGUGAGGUGGAAGGAGCUCAUUUGGUGAUUUUUGACAAUGACACUGAAGAGAAACUUAUCAGCAUCAUCAGCAAUACCACAUGGAUUGGCUUGAGUGGUCAACAAAACAUUUCUACUGGCUCAGUGACUUGGACAUUGGUUGAUGGACACUCACUGACCUAUGGUUACUUGCAGAUUCAUCUGCAAAGAUGGUGCAAAAGGCUUCACUGCUGUGCAUCUGUUUACGGGAAUAAAUGGUUUCUGCACCCUUGCCAUGAACAACGCCAAUGGAUUUGUGAGAAAGAACUGUAAUAAUUUUUUGUACUAACCACCGGUGACCACGAGAGGGCAGUAUUUUAUGAUGAACAACUUAACCUCUGUACCGUUCAAGUUAGUAAAACAUACUUCAUGACAGUGAAAGCAAGG